UUGCAGUUGAUGAUAUGUUGAGAAAAAGAUCUAGGGUUUCCACUUGAUGGGUAAGAAACGAAACACGAGAAAGUUUGAUGGAGAAGUUAUCAGAGAAUUUUCCUUCUCUACUGACAGUUGGUUUGGCCUCAAGAUGGAAGUUGGAUUUUUAAUGAGAUUGUUUGAAAGAGAGUUAGCAUGAGAAAAUACAAGCUAUGUCUUCGGGUAUAAGGGCGUUCAUAUCUAUCUCAUGGAUUCGACUUCGAUUACAUCAACUCUUCUUAUUCGACUUUGAUUAGAUGAUGAAGUUAAAUCAAAUGAUUCCAACCAAAGUUA